CGAGUGAAGCGGCAACAGCUCAAAUUUGAAAUCUGGCCUUCGGGUCCGAGUUGUAAUUUGUAGAGGAUGCUUUUGGCGCGGUGCCUUCCGAGUUCCCUGGAACGGGACGCCUUAGAGGGUGAGAGCCCCGUACGGUUGGACACCAAGCCUCUGUAAAGCUCCUUCGACGAGUCGAGUAGUUUGGGAAUGCUGCUCUAAAUGGGAGGUAAAUUUCUUCUAAAGCUAAAUAUUGGCCAGAGACCGAUAGCGCACAAGUAGAGUGAUCGAAAGAUGAAAAGCACUUUGAAAAGAGGGUUAAAUAGCACGUGAAAUUGUUGAAAGGGAAGCGUUUGCGACCAGACCUUUUCCUGGCGGAUCAUCCGGUGUUCUCACCGGUGCACUUCGCCAGGUUGAGGCCAGCAUCGGUUUCCGCAGGGGGAUAAAAGCUUGGGGAACGUAGCUCCUCCGGGAGUGUUAUAGCCCCUCGCAUAAUACCUUUGCGGGGACCGAGGACCGCGCUUUUUGCAAGGAUGCUGGCGUAAUGGUCGUCAACGACCCGUCUUGAAACACGGACCAAGGAGUCGAACAUUUGUGCGAGUGUUUGGGUGUUAAACCCUCACGCGUAAUGAAAGUGAACGGAGGUGAGAGCCCUCACGGGUGCAUCAUCGACCGAUCCUGAUGUCUUCGGAUGGAUUUGAGUAAGAGCAUAACUGUUCGGACCCGAAAGAUGGUGAACUAUGCGUGGAUAGGGUGAAGCCAGAGGAAACUCUGGUGGAGGCUCGCAGCGGUUCUGACGUG
rnacentral:rRNA from 1 species